AAUUCUCAACCCCUCCAUUGUGAUGGGGCUUGGAUAUGGGGGCUUGCGGGUCUUUAUCAGUAAAGGUCAGCUCUCCUGAAAUACAUUAGCGGAACCGUUUGCAGUCCCGUCACUAGUGUGAUAAUUAUCUACACUGUGAUGAUUGCUCUCUGAGUAGUUCAGCUGCUAAUUGUCCGAUUGGGGACAAGGUUUAAUGAAGU
rnacentral:misc_RNA from 1 species